UGCCCAGCAACUCCUAUCCCUACCUCCUCGUGGUACUGGCCGGGGUACGAGUAACCUUAGGGAAGAUCGAGUGACCAAGUGUUUGGGAACUUUGAUCGUAUUCUGGCAGGAAAGG
rnacentral:ribozyme from 1 species